CGUAACGGGCAAUAUCCUUGUGCAUUAAGUUGGUGAACUCUUGUGUUCCAUUGGGUAAUGCUAUCAAAUCUUAAUGUGCUAUUUGUGAAAGAUUUUAUUAUUCUGUAUGUUUUAAAGGAAAAUAUUUCAAAUUGAUUUAUUUGCAUGUUACGGAGUUGUAUUUUUCUGAUCUGUGGAGCCUGACAUUUUCCACAAUUUCUAUCGGCGGACAAAAUGUCUUUUAGGAUUGGUAGCAGCUUACAAAGCAGUAGGUUCCAACAUCAUCUAACGUCUGCUUUAGUAAUGGCAGGGAUGUGAAUGAUAAUUUGUGAAAUCAAACAACUUAAGCAGGUGCCUAGCUCAACAACUCCUAUGAAAUCUAGAUUGGUGGUGGUAGUUCUAGGGCGCCUGUUCAGGCAACAGUUUCGUUUUUUAAUCCGCCAAGGAUUUAUGCGUUAUUGCGUCUACUGUGUAGCCUGAGUAGCAUACGCAAGGGGGCGUUUAUCUACAUUCCUGAUCACCAAGCAGUUACAAAUAUGUUCUACACUGAUAAGCAUCCGAGGCAAAGGGCGAGCUGAACUAGUCUAUUGCCCCUCAAUUCCAGAGGGCACUAGUUUACAGCAACUCGGGCUCACCCUUUGGGUAAUUUGAGAUACUUUUCUGGACGGUUCAGAAUCUUAUUAUUGGCCAAAAUUUGAUACGAGAUUAAUUGAUACUUAGUCCUGUCAGACCUCAAAUUCUACGGUUUAUAAUUCUUGUUCUAUGACCGAUUUUAUUAUUAUUUUUUUUUAUACAGAGAGUGGAUUCUCAUUUCUUCUUCAUACCAGCGAGCAGAUUUGAGGUUUAAAAUUGUUUUAGGUUGUUAAGCAAGUCUGACUUUCUACGAUGUACAUGGCCGCCAAACUUUGUCGUUAUGUCUCACUGUUAAUCGGUAAUAAAAACGUCGAAUUAUUGACGAUACGUUUGUCAAAAUGGCAAAUACAACGCCUAACGAUUUAAAUCUAACUUGGGAUAAUCUACUUCUCGGACAAGGUACUUUGAGACCGGAUCUAAUUGAGUCCGCUUUCCAUAUGGCUUCUUCGCGCACGGUUGCCAUGAAGACUCGUCAUAACGAUUCCGAAAUGGUUCGUCAAUUUCGCAUUCACGGCCGUGUAGUAGAACCUAUUAAAGACUUCCUUAAAGAUGAAGUAAGAGCCUUAGGUCGUGAGCUGGGUUUGCCCGCACAAUUACUGGAACGUUACCCGUUUCCUGGUCCCGGCUUGUCAAUUUGAAUCAUUUACGCCGAAGAGCCGUUCUUGGAAGCUAAUUUCGAUGAGACGCAAGUGAUGAUUCGUUCGAUGGUCCAUUAUGCCAACAUAGCAGCCAAGGAACAUGCCUUGCUCAAUCGGAUUGAAAUCGUGACGUCGGAAGAAGAACGUCUUGUUCUGGGAGAACUGUCUAGUCGCAACCAGUAUGUUGCCACGCUACUGCCUAUUCGCACUGUCGGUGUUCAGGUACAGGAGGUUGCAGAAAAAUGUGUCGGGUAUGGCAAACAAAGCAUAGGGAAAACCGCCACAUUUUUCUGCAAUAUACUGUACAACAGAUUCGCAAUUUAGACGUUGUCGUAAUAAUGCCGCGAUCGUAAUCAGCUCUUAUUCAAGGUAGAUGAUAGGUGCCACCGUAUCUACGCCAAGGUUUUUUUUUCUCUUGUCUAGAUCUUUUAAUGGCCAGUGGGUCCUUGUGAUCAUGGCCAAUGGCUUGAGCCGGAUACCAACGACUAUGGCACCUGUCGCCCUUCGCCUUGCCCAGUAAGCAAAUGCAACGGUCGCCAGAUCUACUGGAAGUCAACACUAAAUUCUGAAGGUAGCUGUUAUAAAUCGUUCACACGUGGGCCUUGCAGGCGAAGUAGCUAUUUCCUCGUUGAAGAAUAUGGCACUCGAAGAGGUCGAUUUGUUUCUCAAUUUGGAUCAUCCUAUGAAUCCUAUGUCCUUCCGUCACGCUAUCCCAGGAUGAGGAACCCUUACGACAUGAUGUACUCCAACAACGUGAUGAGCCCAUGAUCGAAAUUUGGCAUGUAUCCGCCGUUUGGCAUGCAGGAAGAUUAGCGGAGACGACUAUCCUGACAUUCCUAGUUUCGAUUACUGAACUAGAAACAGUUUUACAGAACCAUUCACAUGGUUUUGUCUCUAUUAUUUCAUUUUAAAAAUGCGAUUGCAAAUUUUCUAUUGUGACGUAUGGCGGAUAAAAAACAACCUUAAUUAGUUUUAAUGCAUGAAUUCGUUUGCCAAUAAUAUGUGUAUGAAGAAAAUGUUUUCACUUUGAAACAGAGUCAUGGAACCCAUCGGUUUCCAUGACUCUGCUUUGAAAGUUUGAACAGGGAUUUCUGUUUUACCUUUCUGCGAUGCGGCAACACAGCAUUGCAUGUCGAUCUGCGAACGUUUGACAACUCGCUGGUAUUGCAACAGGUUAAUAGUUUUGUGUCAAGUAAAUUUCAAGUGCGAGUAACUGCUGGAAGAUUGCAAGCGAAAUCUGCAUGUGUCGUGUCAUUGUUCUAAGUGUUGGAGACUUUUUUCGUUUUGAUUAGGCAUUCAUGUUUGGGAACAAUACCUGAAGUUGGAUAUCGCCUAGUGAUAUUUACAUAUUAAGUCCUGUUUUAAGACACUUGGGGCGAUACGUUUCGCAACAAAGAUCUAUACAGUACUCAAAAGAUGACCCACAAGCACUACGCCACCACGAUUGAGACAAGGUAAAACACAAAACUAUAAAGCGCCAUUUAUCAAUAAUGAAUGAAUUUCCUCAUUCUAACAAUAAUUUAAGAAAAUGUAAAUGUAUACUUAGCUGUGGUAAUUAUUUCGUUUACAUCGACUACACUUCAAUAAUUUACAAGUGGGAAAGUGUUGCCUAUAAGCAACAAGAAGGUAUUGUGCAUGUUUAUGAGCGAAUCAUGGCUUAAUGGGUGAGUGUCGGAUUGUACCGCUGGAUGUUUGUGGAUCAAAUACCAUCAAAGUUUUCUUCACCAUGACAUACUUGGAAUUUAUAUGCCAACACGUGUAAUCCAUCAAGGACACUGAAUUUCACAACACCUGAAUGGGAUUCGAACCCAAUGUAUAGAGAAUUCCAGUCCACCGCUCUACCAUUGAGCUAUGAGACAUAUUACUGAGAAAUCUAAGUCUUCAACACAUUAAGGUAACUGUGCAAAGUUGUACAUAGGGGAUCAAAUAUCAAUGGGGGGGAUAUAGGGGGGGUUGCCAGGAAGGUAUCGCAUCCGCCUAGCAUCUCCAAGGUCCGUGGUUCGAUUCCACGGAGGUUCCCGAUGUCCUGGGCUUCCAAUCUUCCACGUCUGCCAGUCGGGUCGAGAAACUUCCCCAUUACGAAGUAAUGGGACGGAUAUUUUGGCAAUGUUUAAUAUAAUAUCCAAUAAAAAAUCUUAAUAAAUUGUUCAUUAUGAUUUAUCGGUGUGAAUGCGUAUUUUGUUACUUGAAUACUUUACAACGUACUUUCGCCAUUGGCAUCCUCUGUCGAGAUAUCUCACACAUACUGCUUGAUCAAUAUUUUGUGUAUAUAACAUUGUAACAUAUAGUCGAUCAAAUGAAUCUUUUAAUCAUCGUAGUAUUUCUUUCGGCUCUUGUAGGAUUUGAACCCUUUAACUUUGGCGUUCCAUGCCGAUGCUCUACCACUGAGCCAUAAUUCACGUUAGCAAGUUUUCUAUAUUUUCGUGUUAAUUGAGUUCAACAAAUGUGGACUUAGAAUAAUAUUUGCAGCGAGAUUCAAGAUAACUUCUUAUUAACAUGUAAAUCCAUCUUAUAGAAACGCAGUGACAUUCACAUUAAAUUUAUUAACCUUCUGCCGGGAGUUGAACCCGAUACCUUUAGAUCCAUUAUCCAACGUUCUACCAAACAGCUAUGAUCCUUGAAUGAUAAUGAUCCUUUAUUCAGGUUAGCAUAUAGUUUUACUAGCCUAUAAAAAUUGCAUUUUUUUUUUUUUGCCUUCUAAUAUUAGUGCAAAUUUAAAUGUAACUCAUGGCUCAACGGUUGAGCAUCGGCAAUGAACGCUGAAAGUUUGGGGAUCGAUACCCGAACGAGUUAAAUUCAUCACUGUGAAAACAUUCUAAUACAUCUGUUAAAUCUAUAUAAAUAAAGAUUGAAUACAAAAUCAUUCUGCAAUUAAAUAAAUCAGCAAACUACCAUCUCCAGGAUUGGAAUUUAAUCGGCGAUAAUUCAAGGACACUCCGGAAUUCUCAGUACAAAAACUGCACAUCAGUGGCCAUCUCAGCAAUGUUGAGAGUCCAAUCCUUAAAA